rnacentral:tRNA from 1 species
GGAGAGGUGCAGGAGUGGCUGAACUGGCUCGCCUGGAAAGCGGGUGUACCCCAAAAGGGUACCGAGGGUUCGAAUCCCUCUCUCUCCG